rnacentral:rRNA from 1 species
GACGAACGCUGGCGGCGUGCCUAAUACAUGCAAGUAGAGCGCUGAAGGAGGAGCUUGCUUCUCUGGAUGAGUUGCGAACGGGUGAGUAACGCGUAGGUAACCUGCCUGGUAGCGGGGGAUAACUAUUGGAAACGAUAGCUAAUACCGCAUAACAGUAGAUGUUGCAUGACAUUUGCUUAAAAGGUGCAAUUGCAUCACUACCAGAUGGACCUGCGUUGUAUUAGCUAGUUGGUGGGGUAACGGCUCACCAAGGCGACGAUACAUAGCCGACCUGAGAGGGUGAUCGGCCACACUGGGACUGAGACACGGCCCAGACUCCUACGGGAGGCAGCGGUAGGGAAUCUUCGGCAAUGGACGGAAGUCUGACCGAGCAACGCCGCGUGAGUGAAGAAGGUUUUCGGAUCGUAAAGCUCUGUUGUAAGAGAAGAACGAGUGUGAGAGUGGAAAGUUCACACUGUGACGGUAUCUUACCAGAGAGGGACGGCUAACUACGUGC